rnacentral:misc_RNA from 1 species
GAUGAAGAACGCAGCGAAAUGCGAUAAGUAAUGUGAAUUGCAGAAUUCAGUGAAUCAUCGAAUCUUUGAACGCACAUUGCGCCCUCUGGUAUUCCGGGGGGCAUGCCUGUUCGAGCGUCAUUAUAACCACUCAAGCUCUCGCUUGGUAUUGGGGUUCGCGGUUCCGCGGCCCCUAAAAUCAGUGGCGGUGCCUGUCGGCUCUACGCGUAGUAAUACUCCUCGCGUCUGGGUCCGGUAGGUCUACUUGCCAGCAACCCCCAAUUUUUACAGGUUGACCUCGGAUCAGGUAGGGAUACCCGCUGAACUUAAGCAUAUCGAUAAGCGGAGGA